rnacentral:lncRNA from 1 species
GGCAAAGUACACUAUACUGCAUUGCAUUAUAAAAAUUUAUAGUUAACUAUAAAUAAGUUCAGAAAAACUGCACUGAACUAAAAAAAAAUUCAAAGUAAUUGAAUUGAACUAUUUUUUAGUUCACUUACAAUAUAGUACAAUUCAGUUAACUGGUUUUAAAUUCACUAUAAUAUAGUUUAGUUAUCCAUAACACAGAAUCACAUAAUACACAUUGGGA